CAAGUUUGGCCCCAGAGUGGGUACGAGCUCUCUCUCAUGGUGGUAGUGUAAACUCCCCACCCCCAGUCCUGGCCUCAACAAGUAUAAGUUGGCAGAUCACCGGUAUGGCCGUGAAGAGAUGUUGGCAUUGUUCGACAAGCACCAGAGUCCGCCAGAUGGAAUACUAGCACUUGGGCCACUGUACCUUGAACAUCCUCAAGAUCCCCUGGCACUUAUACCUAUGAAACGAAGAUGAACAGCGGAUGUGGCAGAGAGGAGUAAACAGUGAUGCUGUGUUGCGGCAGACAGGAAGACCCCCAGUGAAUGGUGUUGGGCGUGGCAGGGUGGCAGUGGUGGACCGCGGGCGAGGCCGAGGACGAGGCACUGGCUCGUACUACAGUCGAGGUCUGAGCUACGAUGAAGAGGCAGAACCACGGGGACCGAGGGAAGGUGGAACAAUGACACUUGGAAUGGGG